rnacentral:rRNA from 1 species
AAGUCGUAACAAGGUUUCUGUAGUGAUCCUUCUUUGAAGCCUUCUGCACAACGACUAUAACCAUGUGCACAGUCUGCUCCUGAUGGCAGGCGACGUCACUUGCUUGCUGGAACCCAGUUUAUGAGAACCAGCAGCCGCGACCUAUAUAUACAGAUAGUUUCGGUCCACAGAUUAGGCGGUGACGGUCAGCAUAGCAUCCAUUUGGCAUUUAGAGAAUUUUUACGGUGUUCUGUGUCAACUGGCAGGCGCUGAUUAAGAUAUAAUCGGUUUCUAUUGCCUCCAAAUAGCUUUUAAAACGUUCCGUAGGUGAACCUGCGGAAGGAUCAUUA